rnacentral:tRNA from 1 species
UAGCGUAUAGUUUAACGGUUCAAAACAUAGUACUCAUAAUGCUUGAAUAGUUGGUUCGACUCCAACUACGCUAA